UACAGAGGGGGCAAGCGUUAUUCGGACUUAUUGGGCGUAAAGGGCGCGUAGGCGGCAUGGCAAGUGGAAGGUGAAAUCCCUCGGCUUAACCGAGGAACUGCCCUCCAAACUGCUUUGCUUGAGGCCGGGAGAGGUUAGUGGAAUUCCCAGUGUAGCGGUGAAAUGCGUAGAGAUGCGGAGGAACACCGAUUGCGAAGGCAGCCCCCUGGGUCGACACUGACGCUCAGGCACGAAAGCGUGGGGAGCAAACAGG
rnacentral:rRNA from 1 species